UACGGAGGGUGCAAGCGUUAUCCGGAUUCACUGGGUUUAAAGGGUGCGUAGGCGGGCAUUUAAGUCAGUGGUGAAAUCUCCGAGCUUAACUCGGAAACUGCCAUUGAUACUAUUUGUCUUGAAUACUCUGGAGGUAAGCGGAAUAUGUCAUGUAGCGGUGAAAUGCUUAGAUAUGACAUAGAACACCAAUUGCGAAGGCAGCUUACUACGGGGACAUUGACGCUGAGGCACGAAAGCGUGGGGAUCAAACAGGAUUAGAUACCCUGGUAGUCCACGCCCUAAACUAUGGAUACUCGACAUUUGCGAUAUACUGUAAGUGUCUGAGCGAAAGCAUUAAGUAUCCCACCUGGGAAGUACGACCGCAAGGUUGAA
rnacentral:rRNA from 1 species